CCAAGGAGUCUAACAUGCAUGCAAGCCGAACAGUCUUGAAUAGGCUCGGAAGGCGUAUUGAAAGAAACUGGUAUGAUGUAAGUACACUCUUUAACUCAAUUGUGGUUAAAGUUGUCUUACCGCAAUACCGGCCCGUGAUAUAUCCCUUAUAUCGAGAUUUUUGCGGAGCUGUAGUACGUAUGUUAGUACCCGAAAGAUGGUGAACUAUGCCCGGGCAAGAUGAAGCCAGAGGAAACUCUGGUGGAGGUCUGUAGCGAUUCUGACGUGCAAAUCGAUCGUCGGAUCCGGGUAUAGGGGCGAAAGACUAAUCGAACCAUC
rnacentral:rRNA from 1 species